GGGAUUGGACCAACAAGACUAUUGGAGGAUAGAUCGAAUUCAGACAAAUUCCUUAGUCUCCCAAUUUCUUGUGGAAUGGAUCCAUUAAGUUUGUUGCUUUGAAGGAACAACGAGGCAAGAUUGGUUAAGCUGCUGAUAGAAGAUGGGAUUGGACCAACAAGCCUAUUGUAGGAUAGAUCCAAUGCAACCAAAUUCCCUAGUCUCCCAAUUUCUUGCGGAAUGGAUCCAUUAAGUUUGUUGCUUUCAAGGAACAACGAGACAAGAUUGGUUAAGUUGCUGAUAGAAGAUGGGAUUGGACCAACAAGCCUAUUGUUGGAUAGAUCCAAUGCAACUAAAUUCCUUAGUCUCCCAAUUUCUUGCGGAAUGAAUCCAUUAAUUUUGUUGCUUUCAAGGAACAACGAGGCAAGAUUGGUUAAGUUGCUGAUAGAAGAUGGGAUUGGACCAACAAGCCCGUUGUUUGAGAGAUGAAGAUCAACCAUAUUCUCUAGCUUUCCAAUAUUUGGUGGAAUGGAGUGAAUAUCAUUAAUAGAAACAUCAAGCCCUGCCAAUUGAGUGAGGUUUCCAAUUGAAGAAGGUAACUUACCUGUAAGGCUGUUCAGUGACAAAUUUAGAGAAACAAGAUUCUCCAUCUUCUGAAUUGCCAAGGGAAUGGAAUGAAUAUAGUUAUCAUAAACGUCAAGCACUGCCAAUUGAGUGAGGUUUCCAAUUGAAGAAGGUAACUCACCUGUAAGGCUAUUCAAAGAUAGGUUGAGGUACCUGAGCUUUGAAAGUGCUCCUAUUUGAGGUGUUAUGCUCCCAUUCAGACCAUGGCCACUAAGAUCAAUCUCGACGACACUUCCAGCUUUGCAUCGGAUACCAG
rnacentral:lncRNA from 1 species